UUAGGAGGGCUUUCCCCAUUCUGGCAGGAAGUUCCUAAGUGACUGUCCCACAUGAAAAAACGGAGCCAGCAAAGGCCAGAGGAAGGGGGCCAGGGGCUGACCCCAGAGCUCAGAGAAGAGGUGGGGACAAACCAAACGGGUGGACUUGGGUGAACCUGAGGAAGCCCUGGGCAAGGUGCUCUGGGGAGAGACAAGGACACGUUGUCCUUUCUGCUCAGGGCAGGGGAGCAGGGGACAGCCACAGAGAGAGGCCCCGUCCACGUCAGACACUUGCUCUCUCCAUGGACAGAAGGUGGGUCAAGCCAGGAAGAGUCGGGCUCACGGAGGUCACGGGGAGGAGGCAGGGAGGCCGCUGGCAGACGGGCCACCUGCUUCUGGCCAGUCUGCGGUCCUCAUUCAUUUGGCCAGGCCACCGUCCAGUCACUCUCAUGGCUGGGGUUCCCGGGCCCUGGGAGGGAUGGGGUCAGAGGGUAAAGGCUGUAAAGGGGAAGUCCGGGUGACACCAGGAGGAAAGCUUCGUGACACACCCACUAAACUGUGAAUGGGAGCAAACAGGAUGGGGAGUGGCCUCGUUCCAAGAUCCGCUACUGUGGCCUGGUGGGACGGGGGCUGGGACUUCCCUUCCUUGGAACUGGGCAGAUUGUGGGAAGAGCCACCGGCACGUCUUCAAAUUCCCCUGUCCUUGCAGACCUGAAAUUGAUACGGCUGCGUACGGUGCUGUUUACGUGAACCUGCAGAAUCAUGUUGGCAAAGAAUGGAGCAGACACCCUGAGAUUCGUCCUGGGAGUCUGAACCCGGUUCAUUUGCCAAUGGCUGCCGAUGGUUAAUGCAUGAGUGGGUGGUAACUGCCGGCAGUUAGGUCACCAUCCUUUGCGUUCAAGAUGACACUGACUGAUACUGUCUAUGUGGCAAAGAUCACCAAUGCAUGUGCCAAGUGACCUCUUUAUUUGUACAGCUUUUUCAGGGACAAUUCACACAGCGUGCAAUUCCCACGAGCUAGUGGUUGUUGGCAUAUUCACAGGGCUGUGAAACCGUCACCACAAUCUCACUGGAGAGCAUUUUUGUGUUCCCUGAGAGAAACUCUGUGCCAAGACUCCCUCUUCAUCCCAACACCACCUACUGCCUCUCUGCCUUUGCUUCUUGUGUAUAUUUCAUAUAAAUUGGAUCAGAUGAUAUAUGGUCUUUGGGGACAGCUUCUUUCAGUUACCACCAGAUUCAUCCACGUCAUAGCAGCUAGCAGGACCACAUACCUCAUUCAUCUUCCUGGUCAAGUAUUAUUCUAUUGUAUGGAUAUACCACCUUUUAUUUAUCCAUCCACAGCUUUCACUUUCUAAGAAAUUGCCAGAAUGCCGUCCAAAGUGUCUGCACUCUUCAUAUCCUGAUCUGCAGGGUUCCAGUUUCUCCACAUCCUUACCAACAUUUGUUACAUUCUGCCUUUUUUUAUUAUAAUACGUUCUAUGUUUUAGAAAUUAUAGCUAUCCAAUUGGACAUAAAAUGGUCCCCCGUGGACUUCAUUUCCAUUUUCCUAGCAGCUAAGGAUGUUUGAGCAUCUUCUCCUGUGAUUUGGCCAUUUGUCUGUCUUCUUCUGAGAAGUGUCUGCUUAAAUCUUUCCCUCAUAUUCUGAUUGAGUUGUCUUCUAAUUAUUUUUUUAAAGAGAGAGAGAGAGGGAUAGAAGAGAGAGAGAGAGAGAGAGAGAGAGAGAGAGAAUUUUUUAAUAUUUAUUUUUUAGUUUUCAGUGGACACAACAUCUUUAUUUUAUUUUAUGUGGUACUGAGGAUUGAACCCAGCGCCCCGCGCUCGGCCAGGAGAGUACAUUACCGCUUGAGCCACAUCCCCAGCCCCUGUCUUUUAAUUAUUAAAUUGUCAGCAUUC
rnacentral:lncRNA from 1 species